AUUUCGCAGGAACAGAGGCGGAGUACCAGAGGCGUCACGCGUCGGGGUCGGGGGCGGGUAAAAAGAGAAGGCUCAUUCUAGUUUCUACAACAGGUUGUGCUAGUGAAUUCAAACUAUGCUUUGUUUGAUUCAGAUUAUGCUAGUGAAUUCAGUUACUUCACCUCACCUUCACUUCACCAAAUUUCUGACACAGGACACUGAAUGGAGUAUGAUUGACAGACACAAAACACUGUAAAUUUCAGAUAACAUCAGCAGUAGAUCAGCAUUGCAAUUUAGAACAAUUGACGCUGAUGGAGUACUUCUUUGACAAACUAAAAUUGAUACUGCAAUUGGCACUGUACCUGCAGCCAACAGCAGCAGCAGAGGCAAUCAGCAGUCGAGGUGCUCGAGGGCAGAGGCAAUCAGCAGUCGAGGGCAGAAGCAUCGGCUGUGGCAUCAGCAGGUUUGCGUGGUCCUCUCUCCGCCGGGGAAGAUCCGCCUUGCCCUGCCUGCCGAAUUCUUCAAGAGGGGAGCGGCGGCUGGGGUUGCCGCAGGGGUGAGGAACCGGCGAGCAGGGCCACGAGGAGGAGGCGCCCGUCGAGGUGGUCGCCUUGGAGGAGCAGCCUCAGCUGGGCGGCGGGGCAGCUCGCCUCCGUGCGGACGGCCCACGUUUGCAGCGGCGGGGCAGCUCGCCUCCGUGCAGACGGCCCACGUUCGUAGCGGCUGAGAAACCGCAGGUGGGCUACGGCGCAGGUGGGCGUCGGCGGAGGUGGUCGCCCGCUCUUUCUACGGCGGCUGCCGGCGGUGGCUACGACGGCCGCUUGGUCAAAGGAGGAAGAAGCAGAGGAAUGGAUGUCCUCACCCGCCUCCACCGGCCGCUCGGCGAAGAGUGGCAGGAAGACGACAUCCCCAAGCCCUCUGCUCUCUGUCCCCUCUCCAGCGGGUCUACGGCUUCUUGGUUGCUGGACUCGCCCCCAUGAUGCUGGCGCGUUGCUGUAACUUCCGCCCAUGAUCUGUCGCCCGUGCAGUAUUUUGCUGUAGUUGACUGCAGGUGAAGAAUGGGCCAUGUUGGCCGUGCUGACCCUAUUUUCAGCAGUUGGAUCCUAUAUACCUAACCGAGGGAUCAAGAACCAUCGUUGUGAGUUAUGCUUUGUGUUACUUCAGCAAUGGCUGAUGCCAUUCCUUCCAAGUAUCAAAUAUGUGUUAUUCAGACAUUUAGGCUUACCAAAUCUAAGUCUAAAGAAACGAGUCGCGGGCGUAAAUGCCUAUUUCUUCAGCAUUAAGAACUUUAGGUUAGUCAACACAGUGAUUUCUAUGUUGGGUUUGCUCUUCACGCUAGGCUUGAACGUCACAUUUAACCUAUCUGUGCUAG
rnacentral:rRNA from 1 species